GGAGUCGAGCGGAAAGGCCCUUCGGGGUACUCGAGCGGCGAACGGGUGGAUAACACGUGAGCAACCUGCCCCUGACACUGGGAUAAGCCCGGGAAACUGGGUCUAAUCCCGGAUACGACCGCCCUCAGCAUCAGGUGGUGGUGGAAAGUCUUUUCGGUUGGGGAUGGUCUCGCGGCCUAUCAGCUUGUUGGUGGGGUAAUGGCCUACCAAGGCGACGACGGGUAGCCGGCCUGAGAGGGCGACCGGCCACACUGGGACUGAGGCACGGCCCAGACUCCUACGGGAGGCAGCAGUGGGGAAUAUUGCGCAAUGGGCGGAAGCCUGACGCAGCGACGCCGCGUGGGGGAUGACGGCCUUCGGGUUGUAAACCUCUUUCAGCAGGGACGAAGUUGACGUGUACCUGCAGAAGAAGCGCCGGCUAACUACGUGCCAGCAGCCGCGGUAAUACGUAGGGCGCAAGCGUUGUCCGGAAUUAUUGGGCGUAAAGAGCUCGUAGGUGUCUGGCCGUGUCUCCCCGUGAAAGCCCGCAGCUUAACUGCGGGUCUGCGGUGGAUACGGGCCGGCUAAAGGUAGGUAGGGGCAAGUGGAAUUCCUGGUGUAGCGGUGAAAUGCGCAGAUAUCAGGAGGAACACCGGUGGCGAAGGCGGCUUGCUGGGCCUUACCUGACGCUGAGGAGCGAAAGCGUGGGGAGCGAACAGGAUUAGAUACCCUGGUAGUCCACGCUGUAAACGUUGGGCGCUAGGUGUGGGGAUCUUCCACGAUCUCCGUGCCGGAGCUAACGCAUUAAGCG
rnacentral:rRNA from 1 species